AUCAACUUUCGAUGGUAGGAUAGAGGCNUACCAUGGUGGUAACGGGUAACGGGGUGUUAGGGCACGACACCGGAGAGGGAGCCUGAGAAACGGCUACCACAUCCAAGGAAGGCAGCAGGUGCGCAAAUUACCCAAUCCCGACACGGGGAGGUAGUGACAAUAAAUAACAAUACAGGGUUCUUUAGGAUCUUGUAAUUGGAAUGAGUACAAUUUAAAUCUCUUAAUGAGGAACAAUUGGAGGGCAAGUCUGGUGCCAGCAGCCGCGGUAAUUCCAGCUUCAAUAGCGUAUAUUAAAGUUGUUGCAGUUAAAAAGCUCGUAGUUGAAUUUCGGGAUUAAUAGGUUGGUCAUGCCCUCGGUAUGUACUGAUUUCAUUGGUUCUCACCUUCUAAGGAAUCAUAAUGUCAUUCGUUUGAUGUUGUGGGGAAUUAGGACUGUUACCUUGAAAAAAUUAGGGUGUUUAAAGCAGGCUAACGCUUGAAUACAUUAGCAUGGAAUAAUGAAAUAGGACAUCCGAUUCUAUUUUGUUGGUUUCUAGGAUCGAUGUAAUGAUUAAUAGGGAUAGUUGGGGGCAUUAGUAUUCAAUUGUCAGAGGUGAAUUUCUUGGAUUUAUUGAAGACUAACUACUGCGAAAGCAUUUGUCAAGGAUGUUUUCAUUAAUCAAGAACAAAAGCUAGGAGAUCGAAGACGAUCAGAUACUGUCGUAGUCUUAACCAUAAACUAUGCCGACUAGGGAUCAGAUGAUGCUUAUUUUUUAAUAACUCAUUCGGCACCUUACGGGAAACCAAAGUGUUUGGGUUC
rnacentral:rRNA from 1 species